AGAGUUUGAUCAUGGCUCAGAACGUACGCUGGCGGCACGCCUAACACAUGCAAGUCGAACGAAGUAGCAAUACUUAGUGGCAGACGGGUGAGUAACAUGUAGGUAUCUGCCCUUUGGCCUGGAAUAACACGAGGAAACUUGUGCUAAUACCGGAUAAGUCUUUACGGAGAAAGCUUUAUGCACCAUUGGAUGAGCCUGCACUUGAUUAGUUUGUUGGUGGGGUAAUGGCCUACCAAGACUGUGAUCAAUAGCUGAUUUGAGAGGAUGAUCAGCCACAUUGGGACUGAGACACGGCCCAAACUCCUACGGGAGGCAGCAGUGGGGAAUCUUGCACAAUGGAGGAAACUCUGAUGCAGCGAUGCCGCGUGAGUGAAGAAGGCCCUUGGGUUGUAAAGCUCUUUCGUCGGGGAAGAAAAUGACUGUACCCGAAUAAGAAGGUCCGGCUAACUUCGUGCCAGCAGCCGCGGUAAUACGAAGGGACCUAGCGUAGUUCGGAAUUACUGGGCUUAAAGAGUUCGUAGGUGGUUGAAAAAGUUAGUGGUGAAAUCCCAGAGCUUAACUCUGGAACUGCCAUUAAAACUUUUUAGCUAGAGUAUGAUAGAGGAAAGCAGAAUUUCUAGUGUAGAGGUGAAAUUCGUAGAUAUUAGAAAGAAUACCAAUUGCGAAGGCAGCUUUCUGGAUCAUUACUGACACUGAGGAACGAAAGCAUGGGUAGCGAAGAGGAUUAGAUACCCUCGUAGUCCAUGCCGUAAACGAUGUGUGUUAGACGUUGGAAAUUUAUUUUCAGUGUCGCAGGGAAACCGAUAAACACACCGCCUGGGGAGUACGACCGCAAGGUUAAAACUCAAAUGAAUUGACGGGGACCCGCACAAGUAGUGGAGCAUGUGGUUUAAUUCGAAGAUACGCGCAGAACCUUACCAACACUUGACAUGUUCGUCGCGACUCUAAGAGAUUAGAGUUUUCGGUUCGGCCGGACGAAACACAGGUGCUGCAUGGCUGUCGUCAGCUCGUGUCGUGAGAUGUUGGGUUAAGUCCCGCAACGAGCGCAACCCUCACUUUUAGUUGCCAUCAUUAAGUUGGGCACUCUGAAAGAACUGCCAGUGAUAAGCUGGAGGAAGGUGGGGAUGACGUCAAGUCCUCAUGGCCCUUACGUGUUGGGCUACACACGUGCUACAAUGGUAUCUACAACAGGAAGCAAGACUGCGAAGUUAAGCAAAUCCCUAAAAGAUACCUCAGUUCGGAUUGCACUCUGCAACUCGAGUGCAUGAAGCUGGAAUUACUAGUAAUCGUGGAUCAGCGUGCCACGGUGAAUGCGUUCCCGGGUCUUGUACACACCGCCCGUCACACCAUGGGAGUUGGUUCUACCUUAAGGCAAGGUUUCAAACCCUUGACCACGGUAUAGUCAGCGACUGGGGUGAAGUCAUAACAAGGUAGCCGUA
rnacentral:rRNA from 1 species